rnacentral:rRNA from 1 species
AUUGAACGCUGGCGGCAUGCCUUACACAUGCAAGUCGAACGGUAACAGGUCUUCGGAUGCUGACGAGUGGCGAACGGGUGAGUAAUACAUCGGAACGUGCCUAGUAGUGGGGGAUAACUACUCGAAAGAGUGGCUAAUACCGCAUGAGAUCUACGGAUGAAAGCAGGGGAUCGCAAGACCUUGUGCUACUAGAGCGGCCGAUGGCAGAUUAGGUAGUUGGUGGGAUAAAAGCUUACCAAGCCGACGAUCUGUAGCUGGUCCGAGAGGACGAUCAGCCACACUGGGACUGAGACACGGCACAGACUCCUACGGGAGGCAGCAGUGGGGAAUUUUGGACAAUGGGCGAAAGCCUGAUUCAGCAAUGCCGCGUGCAGGAUGAAGGCCUUCGGGUUGUAAACUGCUUUUGUACGGAACGAAAAGCCCCGGGUUAAUACCCUGGGGUCAUGACGGUACCGUAAGAGUAAGCACCGGCUAACUACGUGCCAGCCGCCGCGGUAA